UGCCAGCAGCCGCGGUAAUACAGAGGGUGCAAGCGUUAAUCGGAAUUACUGGGCGUAAAGCGUGCGUAGGCGGAUGCUUAAGUCAGAUGUGAAAGCCCUGGGCUCAACCUAGGAAUUGCACCUGAUACUGGGCGUCUAGAGUAUGGUAGAGGAUGGCGGAAUUUCCGGUGUAGCGGUGAAAUGCGUAGAUAUCGGAAGGAACACCAGUGGCGAAGGCGGCCGUCUGGGCCAAUACUGACGCUGAGGCACGAAAGCGUGGGGAGCGAACAGGAUUAGAUA
rnacentral:rRNA from 1 species